CCUCCCCGCGCCUGACCAGGAGCGCGCCCCUGACUUUACGGCCACGCCCGGCCGAGAGCGCGUGCCAGCAAGGCUCGCUCUCUCUCUCUCUCUCUCUCUCUCUCUUCCCCUCUCCUCUCUCUCUCUCUCUCUCCCUCUCCUCUCUCUCUCUCUCUCUCUCUCUGUCACACACACACACACACACAGCCACCGGAGGCGUCCUGAGCAGCAGCCCACUCCCUGUCCCCUGCAGGCGUCCGACCCGAAGUCCACGCGCCGGAACUCGGACCAGGAGCCAGAGGACCCCAGCGCAGAAUCCGCGGAGACGCACGGCUUCGUCGACCACGCUCCCAGGUGGCGUUCCAGCCCAGAUCCGGCCACGAAGACACCGGCGACCUCGGCCUGGGUUUCCUGUUCGAUGAGCUCCAGAAAGAAGACGAUGCGAAGGAUAUAGAGACUUCAGUGACUGAAGCUGGAGGAGACGAUGAGAAGAAAAUACGGACCAAACCCGAGCAGGGAGCAGGAGCAGGAAAAGAAAGUCACGUGUACGCGGGAGCUGCGGACCCCAUGAUCCACGAGAACCAGAAGGGCGGUGGUGGCCACCAGGAGCCCUGGCAGCAGCAGCCUGAGGAGUUGGCCCAGGACUCCUCCGCUGAGGAUCCGCAACCCCAAGAUCAGGAGCGUCUAUUCAGCCCCAGCACGUUCGGCGGGUUGCACCUGAAGGAGCUAGACAGCAUUUUCUGACCUUCUCAAUAUCCGGACAUGUUCGCUUGAAAGCAACUGGCAAUAUGCAUGGAUGUGAGUGAAGCUGAAGUGGAAGCCAGUAAGCCUGAUGAAAGCAAUUGGUCAGAGUAGCCACUCUGAAACCUGCCUCAGACCUUGGAUACUUUGUCCUACACAUUCUCCAAUUGGCCUGGUAACUUCACCGGAUGAAGAAAUCUAGGUUGUUGGUGUUUUUCUUUGAACACCUCUUCUUGCUCUUCGAUAGUUAAAUCUAUUUCACUACUGACAUAGGUACCACCAGAUAUCUGUAGUAUAAACUCAUUAUUUCACAAAAAAAUAAGAAUUUGAGUCUGUGAAGACUGUGCUUUCAAACAUCACUGCACUCCAGUGUAGGCAACACAGCGAGGUGCUGUCUCAAAAAAAGAAAGAAAAAGAAGGAAAGGAAGGAAGAAAGGGAAGAAAGGAAAGAAAGAAAGAAAGGACAGAAAAGAAGGAAGAAGGAAAGAAAAAGGAAGGAAAAUAAAAAGAAGAGAAAGAAGGAAGGAAAAAAGAAGAAAAAGAAAGAAAAGAAAGAAGAUACGACUAUAGUGUUGAGAAGAAUAUUGUUUCAACUUCCUGGAUUGAUCAACUUUUCUUCAGCAGAGAAUUUAGUGUUGAAAAGAACGUGACUGGCAACUUCCUGCCUUCAACUAGCUAUUCUGGCUAUUUCUGGUUAUUUCUAGGUGGGUCAACUCUUCAAGGAGAACUGUAAACCACUGCUCAACAAAAUAAAAGAGGACACAAACAAAUGGAAGAACAUUCCAUGCUCAUGGAUAGGAAGAAUCAAUAUUGUGAAAAUGGCCAUACUGCCCAAGGUAAUUUAUAGAUUCAAUGCCAUCCCCAUCAAGCUACCAAUGACUUUCUUCACAGAAUUGGAAAAAACUACUUUAAAGUUCAUAUGGAACCAAAAAAGAGCCCGCAUUGCCAAGACAAUCCUAAGCCAAAAGAACAAAGCUGGAGGCAUCACGUUACCUGACUUCAAGCUAUACCACAAGGCUACAGUAACCAAAACAGCAUGGUACUGGUACCAAAACAGAGAUAUAGACCAAUGGAACAGAACAGAGCCAUCAGAAAUAAUACCACACAUCUACAACCAUCUGAUCUUUGACAAACCUGACAAAAAAAGAAACGGGGAAAGGAUUCCCUAUUUAAUAAAUGGUGCUGGGAAAACUGGCUAGCCAUAUGUAGAAAGCUGAAACUGGAUCCCUUCCUUACACCUUAUAGAAAAAUUCAUUCAAGAUGGAUUAAAGACUUAAAUGUUAGACCUAAAACCAUAAAAACCCUAGAAGAAAACCUAGGCAAUACCAUUCAGGACAUAGGCAUGGGCAAGGACUUCAUGACUAAAACACCAAAAGCAAUGGCAACCAAAGCCAAAAUUGACAAAUAAGAUCUAAUUAAACUAAAGAGCUUCUGCACAGCAAAAGAAACUACCAUCAGAGUGAACAGGCAACCUACAGAAUGGGAGAAAAUUUUUACAAUCUACCCAUCUGACAAAGGGCUGAUAUCCAGAAUCUACAAAGAACUUAAACAAAUUUACAAGAAAAAAUCAAACAACCCCAUCAAAAAGUGGGAGAAGGAUAUGAACAGACACUUCUCAAAAGAAGACAUUUAUGCACUCAACAGACACAUGAAAAAAUGCUCAUCAUCACUGGCCAUCAGAGAAAUGCAAAUCAAAACCACAAUGAGAUACCAUCUCACACCAGUUAGAAUGGUGAUCAUUAAAAAGUCAGGAAACAGCAGAUGCUGGAGAGGAUGUGGAGAAAUAGGAACACUUUUACACUGUUGGUGGGACUGUAAACUAGUUCAACCAUUGUGGAAGUCAGUAUGGCGAUUCCUCAGGGAUCUAGAACUAGAAAUACCAUUUGACCCAGCCAUCCCAUUACUGGGUAUAUACCCAAAGGGUUAUAAAUCAUGCUGCUAUAAAGACACAUGCACACGUAUGUUUAUUGCGUCACUAUUCACAAUAGCAAAGACUUGGAACCAACCCAAAUGUCCAUCAAUGAUAGACUGGAUUUAGAAAAUGUGGCACAUAUACACCAUGGAAUACUAUGCAGCCAUAAAAAAGGAUGAGUUCAUGUCCUUUGUAGGGACAUGGAUGAAGCUAGAAACCAUUAUUCUGAGCAAACUAUCACAAGGACAGAAAACCAAACACCACAUGUUCUCACUCAUAGGUGGGAAUUGAACAAUGAGAACACUUGGACACAGGGUGGGGAACAUCACACACCGGGACCUGUCGUGGGGUUGGGGGAGGGGAGAGGGAUAGCAUUAGGAGAUAUACCUAAGGUAAAUGACGAGUUAAUGGGUGCAGCACACCAACAUGGCACAUGUACACAUAUGUAACAAACCUGCACAUUGUGCACAUGUACCCUAGAACUUAAAGUAUAAUUAAAAAAUAAAAUAAAUUAAAUUAAAAAAUAAAUUUCGGUUUAGUAAAUCAUUUGUCUCUUUAGAAUCAGAUUAUGAGCUGGGAAGUGGCUCACACUGCCACUAGCACUUUGGGAGGCCUAGCAGGAGGCCCUAGCACUUUGGGAGGCCCUAGCACUUUGGGAGGCCAAGGCAGGAGGAUAACUUUAGGCCAGGAUCAAGAUCAGCCUG
rnacentral:lncRNA from 1 species